rnacentral:lncRNA from 10 species
AAGGGUCCGAUUUCUCAUGAGCUGCUGAACCACAGAUUUUAGAGCUGAAAGACACCCUGCAAGUGAUCUAAUCCAGUCAUCAGAUGUUGCAGUUAUAAGCCAUAGGCGGGUAAAUGUGGACCUGGGAAAAUGCAGACCAACACCUUGCUGGAGUGCAAAGAGCCCCUAGCCAAUUCCUAGGCCUUUGAGAAAACCUGGAAAAAUUAACACUUGAAAUAAAUUUUGAAGAACAAGGAAAAGUUAUUGACCUAAAGGCUGACAGGGAGGAAUUCUGGAAGGAAGGAACAGCUCACUUGCUUGGAGAACCUUAAUAAAAUAUCUAUAAAGGAAGUAAAAAAAAUACAGAAGUCCAAGAGGACAAAGUGGAUUGAAUAUGAAACAGCAUCUGGUGAGAAAAAUUUCAACAAAAAAUCUGGUUGAUGGAAGAUUUGUAACAAUGUUGGCGUCUACAGA